CCACCCACUUUGACAGAAUGAAGUAAAAAUGGCCCAAUACAGAGAAAAUUAUCAUAGGGCCUAGAUAUGGAUGACAUAGGUUUUUGAGGGAUUCCAUUUUUUUUU
rnacentral:snRNA from 1 species